rnacentral:lncRNA from 1 species
GAACAGAACAGAUGGUACCGUGAAACCAAGACUUUUACAGAUUCCUCACAGCACACAGGCAGAGGUUUUGAAAAAUAUUGGUUCUGUUAUGGUAUAAAAUGUUAUUAUUUCGUCAUGGACAGAAAAACGUGGAGUGGAUGUAAACAGACCUGCCAGAUUUCCAGCUUAUCCCUUCUGAAGAUAGACGAUGAGGAUGAACUGAAGUUCCUUCAGAACCUGGCUCCUUCAGGCAUUUCCUGGAUUGGAUUUUCAUAUGACAAUAAGAGAAAAGAUUGGGUAUGGAUUGACAAUGGCCCAUCUAAACUUGCCUUGAACACAACGAAAUAUAAUAUAAGAGAUGGAUUAUGUAUGUCGUUAUCUAAAACAAGACUAGACAAUGGGGACUGUGGUAAAUCAUACAUCUGUAUUUGUGGUAAGAGACUGGAUAAAUUCCCUCAUUGACUCUCCAAUGAGUGGAAAAGUGCAAAGAGAGAGACAAUCUGGAAGAUUUUGGGAAUGUUCUCUGAAAAAUGACAUGACAGAGCAGAGGACAUCUUCCUUCCUUGUGGAGACUGGACAGAUCUACUCUGGUCCCCCAAAGCUUGGAUGAAUCUGAUUUAUUUGUUUGCAUAAACUCCAAUAAAAGUAAAUAAAGAACCUU